rnacentral:miRNA from 1 species
CUGGGCUUCUCCACUCCAGGCAGUGCUCUAGGAGGAGGCCAUAGUGUAGCGAAAGGGGGCACUGGACCUGGACUCAGAAGACCUG